GCAAUUUUUUUCUAAACAACAUAGUUGAUGGCUUAGUUAUUUUCUGUUCACUGCAAAGUUAUAAUCGUUCUGUCUGUAGUUUAAGCCAGACCUGUGCCACAGCAGCAAAAUGUUCUUGUUUUCAUUCUCCUCAGCUUUUUCGUGUCUUUAAAUAAUAAAAAUAAAACAUUCUCUUAAGAAUAUGUACAUAACCACCGAUCUAACAUCUGAUACAAUAUAUUGACUUCACAUAAUUCCAUGAUUAUGGGUCGCGGUUUAAUUCAUAUAAUUUGAAUGCGCAUGGCCAAGUAAAGACGUAGAGUGCAGUCCAUCUGCGACUACAGCCGCUUAUUUAGGUUUUAAACUUCUACAACUUGUUAAUGAAUGUUUUCUAGUAAUCGUAGAUUUUACAUAAAUAAGCGUAAUAAUCAGACAGAUUGAGAUAUGAAAACAAUAUGAAAAAGUCAAGAUCAGGCAGGGUCAUACACAGGUAAGCAGAAAGGCUCAACGCAAGGGUUCGGGCAGGCUCAGUUCCGUGGACAGACAGGGUUCGUUUACCGUGUUGGCAGAGAUAGCAGUACCGUUCAGGACGAGGCAGAAUCGUAAUCAUAAGACAGGCAGGGUAAUUACCAGACAAGUUCAGCAGACGAUGCAGGCAGGGAUCAGGCAAGGCUUGGUAACGGUAGGCAAAACAAGAUCGGAAACACGGGUCGGGACAAGAAACAAAAACGCUGGAGGAUGGUGAAUGCACGCAAACACGAACUAACAAUCUGGCGAGGUACUGGGGUGAGAGCUGGUGCUUAAAUGCUAGGUGACUGAUUACUGAUGAAGUGCAGGUGUGGAUAAUGACCGGUAGAAGCAGGGAACAGCUGUGACAUGACGUAAACAGGAAGUCCUUUCAAAGUAAUUGCGGAAGUAAACCAAAGACGUGACAGUAAACACAGCUGUGGAGUGAGUGUCAGGAAGUCCUUCAAAAUAAAACCUGAGAAUAGAACCAGACACUACCAAAAGUAAGGAACUCAAAAUAAAACAAGGAGCAGGAACAGAGACUGUGACAGUUUCUCUUGGUAUGGGCGGCAAACAGAUUUGAAUAAAAGCAUCGCCUUACAAACCAAUAAACUGAGCAAAAAUAUUUUUUUAACAAAAACACAUGGAAUUGGAUUUAAAACUGUUUUUUCCUUUACAGAAAAACGGAAAUCAAAAAAAGUAGUUCUCGCAUUACCUAUGCUUUUAAUUUUUAAUCAAAGGUUAUCCGUGGAUGGGUCGCGGGGCAGCAGUCUUAGCAGAGAGCUCCAGAAUGCCUCUUGAAUGAAACACAAGAUCAAAUGAUAUGUGAUGUGUUUCGUACUCAGAUGACUUGGUUCUGAGUUCGACCAAGCUUUUGUUCCUCUCAUGUUUGCUCACAGUUGCAAAGGCAAACUUCACAUCCCUUCCCCCUUCUUUGUAGAGGCACCUAGACAUGCUAUUGUGUUGCUACUACUCGAUCAGCAGGUGAGAAAUACUUCAGCUCCGGGACAAAGCUCCAUGGGAGACUGGGCAGCAUCGGACAGCAUGAUCAGCUGCAGGUCUAAAAUUCAUUAAUGCAGCAAGUAAUUAGUUCUACAUAUGUUUACUCUGCAAGAGUAAACGUGUGUAUUUAUCGUAGCUUUCAGCUCUAAUAAUGUGUAGCACUUCGACAAUUGUUUAAAAUAUGCAGUGCAUUUUACAUUGACAUUAUUAUUAUUAUGUCAGCCAAGGUAAGUGCAUUAUCAAAAGAAUGUGCCUGUCAGCAGGGAAGACAUCAACUUUAUUCAGUCGCUCUUCAGUCACUGUUGCCGUCUCCUCCCCAGUUCACACACCUAAAGUGUCCUAUCCAAUGAAUGCACUUCCAGAUUGACUGGUGAUGCUGCACUGGUUGCUCUUAGUUACAUCAGCUGUUUGAAGCAGGGAAAAGCGAUAUAGCUGUCCUUGUCGAUGUCUUGACAAUGUAUUGCCGUCUACACACGAUCGAAACAGUUUUACAAGGCGUAAUAUGAGGCUUACAUUUGAUUGUAUUCCAUUUACGGCAGUACUGUAGCUAAAAGAGAACGAGAACUGAAUAAGUUUGCUGUUAACUGCUACGAUCUUCUGUCGAUAAAAUAUAAAAUGUUAAACCUGUUCGUAGUCUCAGCGAUCCAUGCACUAAAUAUUACAACGGUGUUAACUCAUGGGUCAAAUGAUAAUGAUGAUACGCUGUUUUUCUAAUAAUUAAAAUUGAAAGACUGCUCCCACUCAGACUUGAAGCCGGGACGAAAAGCUGUGCAGCCACGCAUCUUAACCACCAGGCUACCUAAGACUUGAAGAGUGGCUGUUGAACAAGAGGCUAUAUGACACAUUAAACUACAAUGUUUUGUGACUAAAAGUGCGAGUCAAUCGCCAUCUACAGGCCAGAAGGACGUAACACACUCUCUUCUCUCAUGCUGUGCUGACAGGGUGCUGACGCGUUGGACACGAAAGCAAACCACGGUGGAGGCUGACACUUUUAACUUCUGUCACUGUACAAUAAAGGUAACAUUGUCUUUUCUAUACUGUAGGAGGGCACAUCCCAGCUACCCACAUGCAAGGAGGCUAUCAAACAGAGAAAUCACUGCAGAUUGUUGGUACACAAACAUCUGCUGCUCAGCUCAGAAGUGAAGGUAUGUACAUUUACCAACUCCCUACGGACCGUGGGUCCUCGGGCUCCACUCUCUCAGGCCGACCCUCCCACUGGGGGGAGUGUUUGCCCCUGGUUCUCAUGGGGCGGACAGCGUUGACCCACGGUGGUGAAAAAUGAAACUCACCUUUACGCUCCAAAAGACAUGUAAUUUUUUCAAAUGUUUUGUAUUUCCGUCAAUAGAUCUAUGAUAGAUUUGUGACAGACAAAAACAUGUUUCAUGUCAUUGUGCAUCUCUGAUAGGGCAUGGUUUUUGUUGUGGUGAUGUAACAUCAUGGUCAAUAGUGGAUGUCAUGCAUAGACUCAUAAAAAUUGAUUGGUGUUAAACGAGAGCAUGGGGGUUAGUGCCUCAUGCGAGUUUCAUUGUAUUUCCCAGUAAAACAUACAAUAAACUCACAUGUGGCGGGAGCUGACCCCAGGCUCUCACUUGAGCCCAUACAAACUGCUUGCUGUCAAGUGAGAGCAUGAGGGUCAGUUAGAGAAAGGGGGAACUGAAAGUGUUUAAUUUUAAAUCAAGAAAUGCCAGAAGAAACUGUCACAUGCCUUUGAUUCUUUGUAUAUGUGUAAAAAAAUGUUUGGUACUAUUUUUGAUAAUAAAAGAUUAAUUAGAUAGAUCAUUGUGGGAUUGAUGUACAAAUAUUAACAUUCUGUAAAAUAUCUUUACUAUAAUACUUAAUGUGAUGUAUGUUAAUAUAUGUAAAAACUGAUGAUUAAAAUGUGAUGUCUUGGUGUUUGAUUAGAUAAGUCUAACUUCUUCCUACUCCAUUCAAGCAUGUAUAACAGAUGGUUUGUUUUUGCUGAUUUCAGUCGACUGUCAGUGCCAUUUGGGCGCUGAUCACACACUCUUGAGCUGACUGUCAGCAGCACCCCUCCUUGUUCUGUCUGGGGAAGGUGUUAAAAAUGUUAAUGAGGCCACCCCCAUUUUUAGGACCAAAGACGCAAUGCUAGGGUAAAAUCAAAAGAUGGAGCUUUAGUAUCUGACCUCUAUACUUGGGCUCAAACACCAAGUAUAGGCACAGUUCUGAGAAGAGGACAUAGAUCUGAUAAUGUCAGUUCUACACUGUUUGCUGGGGCAGACAGACAGACAGACAAUAGUCUGUCUAAACAGUCAACUAAAAUUUGAGAAGACUUGAAAAGUUGACCUUAUGUCAGAGUUGAAUGUUGUACUUACUUUUUUAAUCAUCGAUAAGGUCACGCUGCCACAGCUGCCAAACUACCUUCUGGAGGUUUAUCAGUUACUGGCUGUAUUAGGUUCAAUUGGACUUUACAAAUUUACCUAAUGAAAUUCCUAAAUUCUCAUUCUAUAUAUUCGGCCAUAUUCACUUGGAUGUAUUGUGUGUCAGUCUGCCUGCUUCCGGAGCUGUUUAAAUUAAAAAAAGAGCAUUUGAAUGUUCUAAUCAAGCUUAGAUGAACAUAACAAUAGAGAGCCUCUUUUCAGACAGAACGACCAAUCCACAGCACUAGUUAGACUGGUUUCUCCCCAAAGCAUCAGAGUCCUGCAGUGCUGUUACCUGAUGUGAUGUAACCAGAUACAUUUGUUAACUACUUAAACAGAAGAUUCUUCAGAGAUCCAUCACUUCAAAGAGUCUAGUGGUUAAAGCACACAACUUCCCACCCAAAGUGACAGAAAGGAGGGAGCGCUUGCUUGUAUUCAAUGCAUGUAAAUGAAUGUGCUUGGCGCAGAGCGGGGGAUGCUGCUUCUCUCAAGCGUGCAGGACACACUUGGUGCUAUGGGCCCUUCUGGUAACUCCCUUCUGCAUGUGUCACAUAAUAGGACCAAUGUUUCACUUGUAUUCAUAAAAAUGAAAAAACAUUUUUUUUUAUAUGUUUGUAAAUAAAAAUGAAAGAUAAUUUUAAUUGUCAUUUGGGGGAUUUAUUGGUAAAAUCUCAUUUUCACAUCCUAUUGAAUGACAAUAAAAUGUAAGUUGUAGGAAAAAAUGCAUAUUUAGGAAGCAUGCAAAUGAAAAAAAAAAACAAUGUUUUAGGAGAUACAAUUUAAUUUACAGAGAUGUGUGUACAAUGUUUUUUUUAUUUGCAUUUUAUCAUUAAAUCUCCCAAAAGUGUGUUGAUGAGCUAACAUGGUGAACACCCCCUCGCCGUGGGGAAACGACCCCAUUUAUGGAACAAUAGAAGCUGUUCACACGAUGAUGGCUGAAGUGUGUGGGUCUCUGGACCCGUCUGUGGGAAGCCCUCAAAAAAAGGUAUCUGGACCCUUUAGUGGGUUGGGUAUUGUUAAACAAACUGUUUUUGUUAGUUGGUGGUUUAAUAUAGGAAACCUUUAUAUCCUGAAGCCAUAAACUUAACGCUUUCUUUUUAACAAGUUUUAUUUACAGAUUUUAUAAACAUCCAGUUUAUUUGACCAUUUUCUAAACCAGGUUGUCUGAAAGUCUGAAAGUCAUGUUAAGACACUCCUGGUGUGUUAGAAGUACGCCCCUACUAACUUCACAUUUUUGAGAGUUUAUCCAAUCCCGUUUAAGAACCAUGGUUUCAAAUUUGGUGGACUGGGUACGUCUGCAUUCGCUUGACCACUCACAGAACCAGCUUCAGCCCCGCCCAGACAAACCUGGACCCCUAAAUAUACCGGCAACAUUACAUUUCACUCACUUACUGCGCAGUCUACCACAUUGCGUUUCAGUCACUCACUGUGCGUUCCCGCAUAGUACGUGGCGGUAAUACACUUUUCAGUUGGUUGCCACCCGCCAUUUAAAAGACAAAAAAGAGAGACAGUGUUGCAAGGUGCUGCCACGCAAUUUGGAUGAGUUUAAGCCUCGCCUGCAUUCUUCUGGUUUCGAAUCGUGUAAAAUAUGGUACUGAGGUCACUCACUCAGCUCACAUUUUAGCUGCUAGCUUCAUGUUAGCCACUACCGCGAUGGUAGCACAGCGUUAGCAGCUAGCCCUCGCCUCCAGCGAUAGCCUCCACAUGAAGUUUAGUACAACUUGGGUUUGACUGCGAUAUUAAAUUGUGAGACUCAGCUGUGUUUCUAAUUACUACCGAGCCUGUUGUGUGUAAGUCUAACAUGUAUGUUGUUGCUGUCUUCUCAUAUGUGCUGCAUAUCUAGUCAGCUACUGUAGCUGUAAAUGUGACAAUGUGACAAAUGUUUUUUUUUUUUUUAUACAGGUACCAGCCAGCUACCAAAACGCGAGGAGGUUGCUUCUCAAACUGACACGCCGCUGUUGGCUGUGGACACACAGCUACCUUGUAGAAGAGUUGUUGCUCACCUCAGGAGCAACGUGUUAUGGUGCAGAUUAUGAGGAAAAUGUGAUGAAGACCAUCUUCAAUAAAGUCCUGCUGGACCCAGGUUGUUAUAUGGAGGACCUUGUGAACAUCCCUGUCCCACCGGCCCUCUGAGCAGAAUUUGAGCAACCUGACAGAAAGGAGGGUGGUGUCAAGGAAAACAGCUGCAUCCUCCAUCUGUACAGCAGCUGCACUGCUUCCGAUGUCUUCCAACACGUGAAGACAAAAAAGAUCGUCACAUCUCCCCAGCCAACUGCUCAUGACUGUACCUGUUCUGCUCCAGAAACUAUGCUUUCAAUAUAACUAUGAAUCCUACCCGUUCAUUUUGUGGUCUGCAAAUUGAACUGUAAGAGUAACUUAUCCAGCAUUAUAGUGCUGGUGCAUUGGUUAAAAAUAAA